rnacentral:misc_RNA from 1 species
AAAAGCCUAUUACUGUAGAAAUACAAAACGGCAAUAUAAACUAUUACUCCUAAAGGCAUUAUAAAAUCCAAAUAGCAUAGACUAAAGUUCUCAUAGUACAAAUAACACAUCCAUUUCAAAGUGGCCACAAUGUAACAUUUCCUUGUUAACACUUGAUUUCUUUGAGCCCGUAUGCAAAGUACAGAAAGGUUGGAUCAGUAGCACCUUCCUUGUAGUAUGCAAAUACCA